GUGGGGAAUAUUGGACAAUGGGCGAAAGCCUGAUCCAGCCAUGCCGCGUGUGUGAAGAAGGUCUUCGGAUUGUAAAGCACUUUAAGUUGGGAGGAAGGGCAGUAAGUUAAUACCUUGCUGUUUUGACGUUACCAACAGAAUAAGCACCGGCUAACUUCGUGCCAGCAGCCGCGGUAAUACGAAGGGUGCAAGCGUUAAUCGGAAUUACUGGGCGUAAAGCGAGCGUAGGUGGUUCAGCAAGUUGAAGGUGAAAUCCCCGGGCUCAACCUUGGAACUGCCUCCAAAACUACUGAGCGAGAGUACGGUAGAGGGUAGUGGAAGUUCCUGUGUAGCGGUGAAAUGCGUAGAUAUAGGAAGGAACACCAGUGGCGAAGGCGACUACCUGGACUGAUACUGACACUGAGGUGCGAAAGCGUGGGGAGCAAACAGGAUUAGAUACCCGAGUAGUCC
rnacentral:rRNA from 1 species